rnacentral:lncRNA from 1 species
CUCGUUGGAGCUUGAAAUGUCACUAUCUCUCCAAAUCCUUAAUAUUGCUCUUUUGGGGUGCUUCUUGAGUAAGGAAUAAUCUGGCUUGUAAUGUCUUCCCUUGUUGUAAUUGUAGCAUAUAAUAUUUUUCUUUUAUCUUUUCUCUUCAUCUUCCUUAUUCUUCAAGCUUAUUUUUUAUAAGAAAACUUUUAAACUUUCUUGAAAGUAGAAUCAUGUCC